GACGAACGCUGGCGGCGUGCUUAACACAUGCAAGUCGAACGGAAAGGCCCUGCUUUUGUGGGGUGCUCGAGUGGCGAACGGGUGAGUAACACGUGAGUAACCUGCCCUUGACUUUGGGAUAACUUCAGGAAACCGGGGCUAAUACCGGAUAGGAGCUCCUGCUGCAUGGUGGGGGUUGGAAAGUUUCGGCGGUUGGGGAUGGACUCGCGGCUUAUCAGCUUGUUGGUUGGGUAGUGGCUUACCAAGGCUUUGACGGGUAGCCGGCCUGAGAGGGUGACCGGCCACAUUGGGACUGAGAUACGGCCCAGACUCCUACGGGAGGCAGCAGUGGGGAAUAUUGCACAAUGGGCGGAAGCCUGAUGCAGCAACGCCGCGUGCGGGAUGACGGCCUUCGGGUUGUAAACCGCUUUCGCCUGUGACGAAGCGUGAGUGACGGUAAUGGGUAAAGAAGCACCGGCUAACUACGUG
rnacentral:rRNA from 1 species